rnacentral:rRNA from 1 species
GGCCCAGACUCCUACGGGAGGCAGCAGUGGGGGAUAUUGCGCAAUGGGGGAAACCCUGACGCAGCAACGCCGCGUGAAGGAUGAAGGUCUUCGGAUUGUAAACUUCUUUUAUUAAGGACGAAGAAAGUGACGGUACUUAAUGAAUAAGCUCCGGCUAACUACGUGCCAGCAGCCGCGGUAAUACGUAGGGAGCAAGCGUUGUCCGGAUUUACUGGGUGUAAAGGGUGCGUAGGUGGCUUUGCAAGUCAGAUGUGAAAUCUAUGGGCUCAACCCAUAGCCUGCAUUUGAAACUGCAGAGCUUGAGUGAAGUAGAGGCAGGCGGAAUUCCCCGUGUAGCGGUGAAAUGCGUAGAGAUGGGGAGGAACACCAGUGGCGAAGGCGGCCUGCUGGGCUUUAACUGACGCUGAGGCACGAAAGCGUGGGUAGCAAACAGGAUUAGAUACCCUGGUAGUCCACGCUGUAAACGAUGAAAGGUAGGUGUGGGGGGUCUGACCCCUUCCGUGCCGGAG